rnacentral:rRNA from 1 species
CGAAAGCCUGACGGAGCAAUACCGCGUGAGGGAGGAAGGCUCUUGGGUUGUAAACCUCUUUUCUCAGGGAAGAACAAUGACGGUACCUGAGGAAUCAGCAUCGGCUAACUCCGUGCCAGCAGCCGCGGUAAUACGGAGGAUGCAAGCGUUAUCCGGAAUUAUUGGGCGUAAAGCGUCUGUAGGUGGAUAUUCAAGUCUGCUGUCAAAGACCGGGGCUUAACCCUGGAAAGGCGGUGGAAACUGAAGGUCUAGAGUGCGGUAGGGGUAGAGGGAAUUCCCAGUGUAGCGGUGAAAUGCGUAGAGAUUGGGAAGAACACCGGUGGCGAAAGCGCUCUACUAGGCCUGCGCUGACACUAAGGGACGAAAGCUAGGGGAGCG